CUACGGGUCGCAGCAGUGGGGAAUAUUGGACAAUGGGGGAAACCCUGAUCCAGCCAUGCCGCGUGAGUGAAGAAGGCCUUAGGGUUGUAAAACUCUUUCAGUGGUGACGAUGAUGACGGUAACCACAGAAGAAGCCCCGGCUAACUCCGUGCCAGCAGCCGCGGUAAUACGGAGGGGGCUAGCGUUGUUCGGAAUUACUGGGCGUAAAGCGCACGUAGGCGGCGCGUCAAGUUAGGGGUGAAAGGCCUGGGCUCAACCUGGGAACUGCCUUUAAUACUGACGUGCUAGAAUGCGGGAGAGGGUAGCGGAAUUCCAAGUGUAGAGGUGAAAUUCGUAGAUAUUUGGAAGAACACCGGUGGCGAAGGCGGCUACCUGGACCGUAAUUGACGCUGAGGUGCGAAAGCGUGGGGAGCAAACAGGAUUAGAUACCCGGGUAGUC
rnacentral:rRNA from 1 species